ACAGGGAUUGCCCUAGUAACGGCGAGUGAAGCGGCAACAGCUCAAAUUUGAAAUCUGGCUUCGGCCCGAGUUGUAAUUUGUAGAGGAAGAUUUAGGCGCGGCACCUUCUGAGUCCCCUGGAACGGGGCGCCAUAGAGGGUGAGAGCCCCGUAUAGUUGGAUGCCUAGCCUGUGUAAAUCUCCUUCGACGAGUCGAGUAGUUUGGGAAUGCUGCUCAAAAUGGGAGGUAAAUUUCUUCUAAAGCUAAAUAUUGGCCAGAGACCGAUAGCGCACAAGUAGAGUGAUCGAAAGAUGAAAAGCACUUUGAAAAGAGGGUUAAAUAGCACGUGAAAUUGUUGAAAGGGAAGCGCUUGUGACCAGACUUGCGCCGGGCGGAUCAUCCGGUGUUCUCACCGGUGCACUCCGCCCGGCUCAGGCCAGCAUCGGUUCUCGUGGGGGGAUAAAGGCCCUGGGAACGUAGCUCCUCCGGGAGUGUUAUAGCCCAGGGUGUAAUGCCCUCGCGGGGACCGAGGUUCGCGCAUCUGCAAGGAUGCUGGCGUAAUGGUCAUCAGCGACCCGUCUUGAAACACGGACCAAGGAGUCAAGGUUUUGCGCGAGUGUUUGGGUGUAAAACCCGCACGCGUAAUGAAAGUGAACGUAGGUGAGAGCUUCGGCGCAUCAUCGACCGAUCCUGAUGUAUUCGGAUGGAUUUGAGUAGGAGCGUUAAGCCUUGGACCCGAAAGAUGGUGAACUAUGCUUGGAUAGGGUGAAGCCAGAGGAAACUCUGGUGGAGGCUCGCAGCGGUUCUGACGUGCAAAUCGAUCGUCAAAUCUGAGCAUGGGGCGAAAGACUAAUCGA
rnacentral:rRNA from 1 species